UACGGAGGGUGCGAGCGUUAUUCGGAAUUAUUGGGCGUAAAGGGCGCGUAGGCGGCUGUACAAGUCAAAGGUGAAAUCCCUCGGCUCAACUGAGGAACUGCCUUUGGAACUGUACGGCUUGAGGCCGGGAGGGGGUAGCGGAAUUCCCAGUGUAGCGGUGAAAUGCGUAGAUAUUGGGAGGAACACCAGUGGCGAAGGCGGCUACCUGGACCGGUUCUGACGCUGAUGCGCGAAAGCGUGGGUAGCAAACAGG
rnacentral:rRNA from 1 species